rnacentral:rRNA from 1 species
UAGGGAAUCUUCCGCAAUGGACGCAAGUCUGACGGAGCAACGCCGCGUGAGUGAAGAAGGAUUUCGGUUCGUAAAACUCUGUUGUUAGAGAAGAACAGCGCAUAGAGUAACUGUUAUGCGUGUGACGGUAUCUAACCAGAAAGCCACGGCUAACUACGUGCCAGCAGCCGCGGUAAUACGUAGGUGGCAAGCGUUGUCCGGAUUUAUUGGGCGUAAAGCGAGCGCAGGCGGUCAAUUAAGUCUGAUGUGAAAGCCCCCGGCGCAACCGGGGAGGGUCAUUGGAAACUGGUUGACUUGAGUGCAGAAGAGGAGAGUGGAAUUCCAUGUGUAGCGGUGAAAUGCGUAGAUAUAUGGAGGAACACCAGUGGCGAAGGCGACUCUCUGGUCUGUAACUGACGCUGAGGCUCGAAAGCGUGGGUAGCAAACAGG